GGCUAAAAACCUCCGACUUCGGAAGGGGGGUAUUUAUUAGAUAAAAAACCAAUGCCCUCCGGGGCUCCCUGGUGAUUCAUAAUAACUAAACGAAUCGCAUGGCCUUGCGCCGGCGAUGGUUCAUUCAAAUUUCUGCCCUAUCAACUUUCGAUGGUAGGAUAGUGGCCUACCAUGGUGGCAACGGGUAACGGGGAAUUAGGGUUCUAUUCCGGAGAGGGAGCCUGAGAAACGGCUACCACAUCCAAGGAAGGCAGCAGGCGCGCAAAUUACCCAAUCCCGACACGGGGAGGUAGUGACAAUAAAUACUGAUGUGGAGCUCUUUAGGGUUUCACAAUUGGAAUGAGAAAAAUCUAAACCACUUAAACGAGGAACAAUUGGAGGGCAAGUCUGGUGCCAGCAGCCGCGGUAAUUCCAGCUCCAAUAGCGUAUAUUAAAGUUGUUGCAGUUAAAAAGCUCGUAGUUGAACCUUGGGCCUGGCCGGCCGGUCCGCCUCACCGCGUGCACUGGUUCGGCCGGGCCUUUCCUCCUGGGGAACCDCAUGCCCUUCACUGGGUGUGCCGGGGAAUCAGGA
rnacentral:rRNA from 1 species